GUGGGGAAUCUUCCGCAAUGGACGAAAGUCUGACGGAGCGACGCCGCGUGAGUGAAGAAGGCCUUCGGGUCGUAAAGCUCUGUCAUCAGGGACGAACGGCCGGUGGAGUGGAAAGCCACCGGAUUGACGGUACCUGAGAAGGAAGCCACGGCUAACUACGUGCCAGCAGUCGCGGUAAUACGUAGGUGGCAAGCGUUGUCCGGAAUUAUUGGGCGUAAAGCGCGCGCAGGUGGGAUCUUAAGUCCAUUUUUAAAGUUCGGAGCUCAACUCCGUGAUGGGAUGGAAACUGGGAUUCUUGAGUACCGGAGAGGAAAGCGGAAUUCCCCGUGUAGCGGUGAAAUGCGUAGAUAUGGGGAGGAACACCAGUGGCGAAGGCGGCUUUCUGGACGGUGUCUGACACUGAGGCGCGAAAGCCAGGGGAGCGAACGGGAUUAGAAACCCCUGUAGUCC
rnacentral:rRNA from 1 species